ensembl:lncRNA
ACUAGGACACUGUGUUCUCAUCAGCGCGAGCUACAGUACAGCCGGAACAUUGUGUUACUCAGUGGAUACUUUCCAAAACCUGCCCUCAUAAUUUUUUUCACUAAAUCGCCCUCCCCCUCCUUCUCUCCGCCUUCUACCUCGUUCUCGUUUAGUUCUCCUUCUCCCCAUGUGGCUGUACUGGUAGAAGGGGUAGUGUGUUUGUGUGAGUGCGUGCGUGCGUGUGCGUGUGUGUGUGUGUGUGUGUGCGCGCGCAUAUGCAUGUGUGUGAGAUGGGGGCUGCGGUCUGUCAGACUGCUAAUGGAACACAAAGUACCUUCGCUGGGAGAGGGCGGGUUUGAACACAGCUUUACCGCCAGCGUCGUGACACUGUACUAGUACAGGUUGCCGUCGCGAUUCCCUGAAGUUACAUUACGGAUAUAGAACCACAUGAGGGGGAGAAGCGAGAGAACCAGCUUGUAAGGGUAGUGGGACUACAGAAAUGAACAUGCACAAGGGCGAGUUCACAGAUGGGCGGUCCAUAACAGCACUCUUUGCCAAAGAAGGUAUUGACAUCACUCCGAACAAAGAUAAUGGUGUUUGUAAGGUAAGCUUGCAGUCUUAUUACUAAUUUCUCCAUUUCUCUGGUACAAAUGACAUCUUUUAGCUAUAAUGCACUUUUCUCUUUGCAUGUGUUCUUGUCAUGUCCGCAGAGCUCAGGCUGGCUGAGACUGGUACAUUAUGGUUUUACAAAAAAUCUGACAAAUAUCUCACCAAGCUAUCUGAUUGUAACAAAAAUGUUUAAUUGAAGCUGUAUCUGACUGAUGAGUGCAAAUCUUGGGUGGGUUUUUUUUGGGCUGCUGUUCAGAGACCUUUCAGUCAAUAGAAAUUUGGAACACAAUGUUCCGCUGCAGGAGAGACACACAGCCAUGAACAUCUUUGCAGGUCACUUUGCGACAAAGACGUGAUGCACUUGAUCCACUGAGACCGUAAUGGGCUAGUUAAAACAGAAUUAGAUGCCAAAAGGUGGAGUAACUUGACCGAUAAUUUAAAAUAAUUUAAGGAAGUUGUCUCAUCAGUGUUGUGCUUGUUACUAAGCACAUUUGUUUGGCCGUGCUUUGAACUUUUUUGUCAUGCUUCUAAUGUUACGAUUGUAGUGGGUGAAUUUGGGUUGAUAGGUUUGUGAGGAGAUAUUUUGUUUUGGUGUCCUAAAAUCUACUGCAUACUGCAGCCCUACAGAAUGGGUCUCUAUGUCCAAGAGCAAUUCAUCCUGUUUUCUGUUGGCUCUGGGUCUGUGCCAUCGGCUUUAAGUUCAUGAUUGGCCAUGCAGACAAAAUGUCCUCACCACACGUGGUGUUGUUGUAAUGUUGAUUAUACUGUUCUUGGACACUUGUGGAUGGCAUGAUAAGGUGCCUGUUAACAUACGGUUGCCAGUUUGUGUUGUUCAGGAGUGUUCGGAUUUACUUUUGUAAGGUAUAUUCAUUAGUGAUAAAUACCCACAAGUUGCAUCGCUAAACCUGUAUUUGUUUCUAUUCAUCAAUGUUUCAUUUUUUUAUUGACAUCCUGAAUGAAUAUCAUCUUGAGGGAGUUGACAGCAAUAGAUCAUAGUUAAUCUGUGGCUGUUCAAAGGUAACAGUUAAGUUGUUGACACGUAGUGAUUUUGAUGUUAUUACACCGGUCCCUGGGGCAGUUUGCCUUUCAAAAGCAUUUAAGCCCAACGAGUUUCACCACUCUGGCAGCAAACUUGUAGUACAUGUUUAAUCUGUUUCUUAAUAUCUUGAUUGUAUUUUAAGAUCUCACUGCUGUCAUUAGUGUCUUGUGGGAUUAUCAUCAAGACUUUGUUUCAUUUCAACAAAUUAUGAGAUAAACUUAAAUAAACUGUGAAACUGAGAAACACAAGGUCCAAGCACAAAGGCGAUAGUGACAAGGAAAAAGUCUAAUUUAACAUGUAUUAGUCAAUAACCUAUACAUAAGUGAUUUAAUGUGAAAGCAGGAUGGACAACAGAGGGUUCACACUUUCGUGAUGUUCUGUGGUGCAUGGUUUUCGUUAGUUAAUUCGCUCAGUAAGUAGUCUGUCUUAUUUUGUUUAAAAUGGUUGAAAGGAGGUUUGGUUGUGUGAUCACAGUGAAUAUGAUGAUAGUAACCGUGGGCAUGUUGACAGCUUGAUUAAACCAGCUACUGUUUGGUUAUUGCUAUUAAACCGUAUUUAGUGUUUAGGCAUUUAGGUAUGUUUAAAAAAAAAAAUGAACAUACUCAGGCUCAAUAUACUAUCAAUUAGAUUAAUCUGUCACUAUUUGUCAUGUGUUAUGCUGCUCUUUUCACUAACAUAAGGGGAGAUGAAAUUUACAGAUAAGCCAAAUAGAAAAUAGGAGAAAUGUAACCUUUCAUUUCAGCUUGAGGUUUGGAUCUGGGUCUACUGAAGCAU